CAGCCGCCGCGGUAAUACGUAGGUCCCGAGCGUUGUCCGGAUUUAUUGGGCGUAAAGGGCGCGUAGGCGGCCAUUCAAGUUAGAUGUGAAAGCCCUGGGCUCAACCUAGGAAUUGCAUUUGAUACUGUUUGGCUUGAGUUCGGGAGAGGUGAGUGGAAUCCCCAGUGUAGAGGUGAAAUUCGUAGAUAUUGGGAAGAACACCAGUGGCGAAGGCGGCUCACUGGACCGACACUGACGCUGAGACGCGAAAGCGUGGGGAGCAAACAGGAUUAGAUACCCGCGUAGUCCCUGUCUCUUAUAC
rnacentral:rRNA from 1 species